rnacentral:piRNA from 1 species
UGCACUUGCUGUCUACAUUCUCCAU